rnacentral:misc_RNA from 1 species
CAGGGACUCAGCUAGGUAAUUGUUGUGAGUGGCUGAUUUUAUGCGAGAUUAUAUAUGGAGUUUAGAUGCCUGUAUAUGUUGCAAAAUACAAGUACGAUUGAAAAGAAGAAGAAAAAAACCAAACAAAUUUGUUAGGGUGAGACUGAGACAUAUAUUCUUGCUCUCUUUAAGCACAUUCAGGCCUACUACACUAUGUUUGUCACUGUAUUACCAGUUUGUGGCUGAACUGAGAUAAUUUGGGAAGAAAAUUCCAUUGACCAGAUUGGACUCCAAGUUGAAUUAGCAUUUGACCGUUUGAAAACUGACUUACUCUGUGAUUACAGAGUCACUAGCUCGAUUAGCUGUCCCUCUAUAAAUUUAAUUGGUGAUCGAAAUGGACAUGGACUCCUUACAUCCGUACUCGUACUAUAACUAGGUACUCAUUGUGAGCGGUUGAAACUUUCAUCUAGAUUAUUUCUGAAUG